rnacentral:rRNA from 6 species
UAAACGACUCUCGGCAACGGAUAUCUCGGCUCUCGCAUCGAUGAAGAACGUAGCGAAAUGCGAUACUUGGUGUGAAUUGCAGAAUCCCGUGAACCAUCGAGUCUUUGAACGCAAGUUGCGCCCGAAGCCUUGGCUGAGGGCACGCCUGCCUGGGUGUCACACGU